rnacentral:rRNA from 1 species
AAUCCAUAGGUUAAUGAGGCGAACCGGGGGAACUGAAACAUCUAAGUACCCCGAGGAAAAGAAAUCAACCGAGAUUCCCCCAGUAGCGGCGAGCGAACGGGGAGGAGCCCAGAGCCUGAAUCAGCAUGUGUGUUAGUGGAAGCGUCUGGAAAGGCGCGCGAUACAGGGUGACAGCCCCGUACACAAAAGCGCAUGUGCUGUGAGCUCGAUGAGUAGGGCGGGACACGUGGUAUCCUGUCUGAAUAUGGGGGGACCAUCCUCCAAGGCUAAAUACUCCUGACUGACCGAUAGUGAACCAGUACCGUGAGGGAAAGGCGAAAAGAACCCCGGCGAGGGGAGUGAAAAAGAACCUGAAACCGUGUACGUACAAGCAGUGGGAGCCCCACCACCAAAGCAUUCUCUGGUGUUGAAGGCCCUGCAAAGCAGCAUCGCGGUGGCGGAGCGUCGUUUGCGACGCCCAACACACAAAACAAGCGGUGAGUGCUUUG